rnacentral:rRNA from 1 species
UACAGAGGGUGCAAGCGUUUAAUCGGAGUUACUGGGCGUAAAGGGCGCGUAGGCGGUUUAAUAAGAUUGAUGUGAAAUCCCUGGGCUUAACCUAGGAACUGCAUCGAUGACUGUUAAGCUAGAGUAUUGUAGAGGGUAGUGGAAUUUCCGGUGUAGCGGUGAAAUGCGUAGAGAUCGGAAGGAACACCAGUGGCGAAGGCGGCUACCUGGACAAAUACUGACGCUGAGGCGCGAAAAGCGUGGGGGAUCAAACAGG